UGUAAACAACGGGGAAGGGAGAGGAGGGAGGAGGAGUUUGUGACUCCCUGUUGGGUAUUAUUGACACUAGUCUCGGUGUUGUUUUCUAGCCGUUGUGUGGAAAUGACACUCGUCUAUAGAUUUUUACAGUCAAAUGCCAGGCUUCAUAUUUUUUGUUCUCCCUCCCUCCCUCCCUCUCUUUCUCUAUAAUCUAAUUUUUCCCAGCUCCACCUUUGUUGUUAAGGGCGUCAUCUCCGGCUGCAGCCAAUCAUCUGCUUUCAGGGUUGCCUGUCAAAUUAACGCCGGUUCCAAUACGCAAAAGCGACUUUUACAGACAGACCCGAAUGCAAUUAGGAGUUAUGGGUUGGAGAGGCGGGGAAGGGGGCAGAGGGAGCUAAUCAACGCGCCCGCCCUCGCCUCUCCCCUCCUCCCCCUUCCCGAGCAACCCGCGUUAAAAACGGGCCACCGCGGAUGAGCGGCGCUCGUCUGUUUUCCGUGAUGUUUUCCCAGUUGGAACCGGGAAUAGUUUCUCCGCUUCCCGGGAUUUCUGGGAUAGGCGGGUGUGUGCGUCUCGCCUGCUUGUCUCUCAUACAGAACAGAACAUGGAAGUAUGUUCUAAUGAGGGGAGCUCAUUAACAGCCCACCUGUACCACAACCUGUUUCCUUCAAUGUACCUGCCACAUCGAACUGGACUGCUUUGACUGACUUCAGCUUGCCUCUUCAACCUCAAUGAUUUUGGCCUAGUUUUCACACUGGUGGCCAAGCUGUGCCUAGACUGUAUCCCUUCAGGUGGAAGAUGAAGGUUCAGGUGAUCAAAUACUCCUCUGUUUAAAAAUACAUAAAUCCCUGCACCCAGAAAACUAGCAAUUCAGGAAUAAGGACAGGUGAUAACUUUUCCCCUCUUUUAAUUUUCUUGGUGGAGAAAAUGCCUUUGUCAGUAUCAUCAGUCUCCAAGACACACUUCUUUAGUGAGUCGACCACAGAACCUCUGUUCACACAAGAACUGCAGUCCUCAAUCUCUCCAUGGAUGUCUGUGCAUUCUAGGUAUGCUUAUUUUGUUUUGCACGGUAAAUAAAGCCAAACCAAAUGUUAAUUUUUAAAAAGCCCUCCUCUUUGUGUCCUAGGGUGCCUCCAGAUUGCCUGUAUUCUUCAAGAGGGAUAUAAAAGCUAAAGGAACGCUGUUUGUGCCUUUAAAGUGGAUUAAAGUGCUUUGUUGCCCCAGCACAACAAAAUACACUGUAAACAAACCUCAUUGUUCCAGUUACAGGCCAUGCAGAGACCUGAAUCUAAACCUCCUGUUGCUCAGCGAGGACGAGGAGCCAAACGAUACUUACAUACUUGAGUUCAACAUUGCUGAAGAAAAAUGGCAGCAGGAAGCGUCUCACAGGCACUGUCAGGAUGAGGAGGAAAGGCAAGGCGAGGGAGGCUGGGGUGGAUUUCACUACCCACAGCAAGACCAGGCACAAAAUCUGGGUGAAGGUGAAGAGGUGCAUCCGCAAAGGCUUUACCUUUAAAGGAAGAAGACCCAAGAAACAGUCAGGUGUCAGCCGUCUACCUGUCUCCCGCCUGACAACCAAGAUCGUAUUCUACAUUUCAACAUUGUACAACUCCCUGAUAUUUCAUGAGAUGGCAGUAUAGAAAUACUUAUUUUGUAAGUAAAUAAUAUCUACUUUGAUCCCUACACACCCUCAAAAUUGGAAUCUGCGUCAGAAGAACUCACCUACAA